rnacentral:rRNA from 1 species
UAUCCCUACGGGAGGCAGCAGUGGGGAAUAUUGGGCAAUGGAGGAAACUCUUACCCAGCAAUGCCGCGUGAAUGAAGAAGGUCUUCGGAUUGUAAAGUUCUUUAAUUGGGGACGAAAAAAAUGACGGUACCCAAGGAAUAAGCCCCGGCUAACUACGUGCCAGCAGCCGCGGUAAUACGUAGGGGGCAAGCGUUAUCCGGAUUUAUUGGGUGUAAAGGGUGCGUAGACGGAGAAACAAGUUGGUUGUGAAAUCCCUCGGCUCAACUGAGGAACUGCAACCAAAACUAUUUCCCUUGAGUGUCGGG